rnacentral:rRNA from 1 species
ACGGAAGGCAGCAGUGAGGAAUAUUGGUCAAUGGGCGGGAGCCUGAACCAGCCAAGUCGCGUGAGGGACGGCGGUCCUAUGGAUUGUAAACUUCUUUUGUGCGGGAAUAACGUGCUCCACGUGUGGGGUAUUGCAUGUACCGUACGAAUAAGGAUCGGCUAACUCCGUGCCAGCAGCCGCGGUAAUACGGAGGAUCCGAGCGUUAUCCGGAUUUAUUGGGUUUAAAGGGAGCGUAGGCGGUGGAUCAAGUCAGUUGUGAAAUGUAGAUGCUCAACGUCUGCACUGCAGUUGAAACUGGUUCACUUGAGUGCGUAAGAGGUAGGCGGAAUUUAUGGUGUAGCGGUGAAAUGCUUAGAUAUCAUAAAGAACUCCGAUUGCGAAGGCAGCUUACUGGGCCGCAACUGACGCUGAAGCUCGAAGGUGCGGGUAUCGAACAGGAUUAGAUACCCUGGUA